rnacentral:rRNA from 1 species
UACGUAGGGGGCAAGCGUUGUCCGGAAUUAUUGGGCGUAAAGAGCGUGUAGGCGGCCAGAUAAGUCCGCUGUGAAAUCUCGAGGCUCAACUUCGAGCUGUCGGUGGAAACUAUCUGGCUAGAGUCCGGAAGAGGAGAAUGGAAUUCCUGGUGUAGCGGUGAAAUGCGCAGAUAUCAGGAAGAACACCCGUAGCGAAGGCGGCGCUCUGGGCCGGUACUGACGCUGAGGAGCGAAAGCGUGGGGAGCAAACAGG